rnacentral:rRNA from 1 species
UACAGAGGAUGCAAGCGUUAUCCGGAAUGAUUGGGCGUAAAGCGUCUGUAGGUGGCUUUUAAGUCCGCCGUCAAAUCCCAGGGCUCAACUCUGGACAGGCGGUGGAAACUACCAAGCUGGAGUACGGUAGGGGCAGAGGGAAUUUCCGGUGGAGCGGUGAAAUGCGUAGAGAUCGGAAAGACACCACGGCGAAAGCAACUCUGCUGGGCCGACACUGACACUGAGAGACGAAAGCUAGGGGAGCGAAUGGG